GUGGGGAAUCUUGCGCAAUGGGCGAAAGCCUGACGCAGCCAUGCCGCGUGAAUGAUGAAGGUCUUAGGAUUCUAAAAUUCUUUCACCGGGGACGAUAAUGACAGUACCCGGAGAAGAAGCCCCGGCUAACUUCGUGCCAGCAGCCGCGGUAAUACGAAGGGGGCUAGCGUUGCUCGGACUUACUGGGCGUCAAGGGCGCGUAGGCGGACAGGUUAGUCAGAGGUGAACGCCCAGGGCUCAACCUUGGAAUUGCCUUUGAUACUGGCUGUCUUGAGUACGGGGGAGGUGAGUGGAACUCCGAGUGUAGAGGUGAAAUUCGUAGAUAUUCGGAAGAACACCAGUGGCGAAGGCGACUCACUGGCCCGUUACGGACGCUGAGGCGCGAAAGCGUGGGGAGCAAACAGGAUUAGAAACCCGAGUAGUCC
rnacentral:rRNA from 1 species